rnacentral:rRNA from 1 species
UACGGAGGGUGCGAGCGUUGUCCGGAAUCACUGGGCGUAAAGGGCGCGUAGGCGGUCUGAUAAGUAGGGGGUGAAAUCCUGCGGCUUAACCGCAGGGCUGCCUUCUAAACUGUCAGGCUCGAGCACAGUAGAGGCAGGUGGAAUUCCCGGUGUAGCGGUGGAAUGCGUAGAGAUCGGGAAGAACAUCAGUGGCGAAGGCGGCCUGCUGGGCUGUUGCUGACGCUGAGGCGCGACAGCGUGGGGAGCAAACAGG